UAAAAAUUUUCCCUACAGGGCAGGAGGGACUUACACCAGUAGCCUCAGAAGGUUUAGCUGUAUCCAUGUGCAAGUGUUGAAUUCGUCCUGAGAAAGUACUUGGGGAAAUUAGAGGAACUCAUUAAAUCUUUUGGACCAAGAGCUAACACUGAACCCUAGAACUACCUGGUUUCAUGAAUGCCAAAAGAGAUAUUUUUAGUUUCACAUUUGUUUAAUGAACACAGGCCCUGGAACCAUCAUCUGAGUAUAGUAAUUUGAGAUAUAAUUUUAAGAUUACUGGAAGACAGUGUAAUAGGCUUGAUGUCUGUCCUCAUCUGGUGUUUGAUAUUCUUUCCUCUUGAGUAUUCCAGGCCCAAGAGAGGCUUGAAAGUUGAUAAUGUGUGUUUUUCCACUGUUGCCCUUUCAACAGGGUCUAGAAUUUCCAACUGGUCUAACUGUGAAACUUGUCUUCUUGCUGAAAUGUUUUUCCUUGAUUUGGGGUUUUCUUGAAAUUAUUGCCAAAGUCAUAUGACAUAAAUUGUAAAUGCCACAAAAUUUAUUCUGCUAUUCUUGAGAUAAAACAUGGAAAUCUGAAAGUUGAAGGCUAGGACUUGGGAAGAGAACUUAAGAAGCUACCAUUUCAAAAUCCUUAAUGAAGGGAUUAUAUCACCUGCUUGCUUUGACUUGAAAGUCUCUUGAAUGAUCUUGUUCAUCUGUCAGACAAUCCCUGCGUCAAUGAUUAAUAAAAACACUCUAGCCUGAGGGUGGGCUUGUGCUGAAACACUGAGGGAGGCAAAGUGCAGCAGGAGUAGAAUCUGAAUUCCAAACCCAGACUAUGCCUAGAGCAAGGGUUCUCCAGCCUGACUGUGUCAGAGCCAGCAGGAUGCUUUCACCACCACCAGCAACACCAGUGACACCCCCAGCACCAGCAGCACCAGCAGCACCACCAGCACCAGCAACAAUAACAUAGUUUCUCAUCUACCGAAUGAAAAACUAUGACCUGAUCAAAUUUUUCACCUAAGUUAAUGGCAAUUUCUUAAUCUAUCUCUGUUCCAUAGCUGAACUCCUGGAACACUGAUGAUGACUACAACAUUUAGCAAAUCCCAGACUCUGGCAUGGAUCCAGCUCACCUAUGAGCAUUUAUAGUAAAUUAUAUUUCAAUGGAAAUAAGUUAUUUGUGUGGAGUUUGUGAUAGUCACAUGAAUGAUAAUACUUAUUAUAUUUAUGCUUGUAGUGAUUUUAAUGAUUAUUGUCAUACCUUGAAAGAUAUUAUAUUGAUA
rnacentral:lncRNA from 1 species